rnacentral:rRNA from 1 species
GACGAACGCUGGCGGCAUGCCUAAUUCAUGCAAGUCGAGCGAACAGAUGAAGUGCUUGCACUUCUGACGUUAGCGGCGAACGGGUGAGUAACACGUAAGGAAUCUACCUAUAAGCGGGGGAUAACAUUCGGAAACGGGUGCUAAUACCGCAUAAUAUCUUCUUCCGCAUGGAAGAAGAUUGAAAGACGGCUCUGCUGUCACUUAUAGAUGACCUUGCGGUGCAUUAGUUAGUUGGUGGGGUAACGGCCUACCAAGACGAUGAUGCAUAGCCGACCUGAGAGGGUGAUCGGCCACAUUGGGACUGAGACACGGCCCAAACACCUACGGGAGGCAGCAGUAGGGAAUCUUCCGCGAUGGGCGAAAGCCUGACGGAGCAAUGCCGCGUGAGUGAAGAAGGCCUUCGGGUCGUAAAACUCUGUUAUAAGAGAAGAACAAAUUGUAGAGUAACUGCUACAGUCUUGACGGUAUCUUAUCAGAAAGCCACGGCUAACUACGUGCCAGCAGCCGCUGUAA